rnacentral:rRNA from 1 species
AUGAAUAAAAGAAAAAAGAUGGUUAGGGGAGCCGCAGUUUUUGUCACACUUGCUGCAAUAGCAGUCAUUGUUCGAGCUUUAAUAAGGAAGAGAAGACCACGUAUUACAUAUGGCCCAAUGCAUGAAAGAGAUCAGGUCAGAUUUGAUUAUCCAGACCAAAAAAUUUGGCAAAGCGAUGUGUUGUGUAAAAACAUGUUAAGGUUUGAAAGAGCUGCGUUCUUUCGCUUGUGUGGCAUACUGAGAGAUAGGGAGUUACUAGAAGACAGUCCACAUCUUAGCGUGGAGCAACAAUUAGCGAUGUUUUUACAUACAAUUGGGCACAAUGUUCGGAAUAGGGUUAUUUCAGCCAAUUUUUGUAGAUCAUAUGGCACAACCAGCAUCUAUUUUAGAAAGGCUUUUCAUGCCAUAGGCGAGCUUCGUAGUGAUUACAUAAGGCCACCAUCAUUGGAGACCCCUGCCAAAAUUGCACAAUUAGGCUUGUCAUCUUGA